rnacentral:rRNA from 1 species
AACGAACGCUGGCGGCAUGCCUAACACAUGCAAGUCGAACGAGACCUUCGGGUCUAUUUGCGCACGGGUGCUUAACGCGUGGUAACCUGCCCUUAGGUUCCGAAUAACUCCCCGAAAGGGGUGCUAAUACCGGAGAAUGUCUUCGGACCAAAGAUUUAUCGCCGUUGGAUGGGCCCGCGUUGGUUUCGCUGGUUGGUAGGGUAAAAGCCUACCAAGGCGACGAUCCAUAGCUGGUCUGAGAGGAUGAUAAGCCACACUGGGACUGCGACACGGCCCAGACUCGUACGGGAGGGAGCAGUGGGGAAUAUUGGACACUGAGCGAAAGCGUGAUCCAGCCACGCCGCGUGAGUGAUGAAGGCGUUAGGGUUGCAAAGCUCUCUGAGCCGGGAUGAUAAUGACAGUAACGGGAGAAUAAGCUCCGGCUAACUCCGUG